AUUGAACGCUGGCGGCAUGCCUUACACAUGCAAGUCGAACGGCAGCACGGGAGCAAUCCUGGUGGCGAGUGGCGAACGGGCGAGUAAAGUAUCGGAACGUGCCCAGUCGUGGGGGAUAACGUAGCGAAAGUUACGCUAAUACCGCAUACGAUCUAUGGAUGAAAGCGGGGGAUCGCAAGACCUCGCGCGAUUGGAGCGGCCGGUAUCAGAUUAGGUAGUUGGUGGGGUAAAGGCUCACCAAGCCGACGAUCUGUAGCUGGUCUGAGAGGACGACCAGCCACACUGGGACUGAGACACGGCCCAGACUCCUUCGGGAGGCAGCAGUGGGGAAUUUUGGACAAUGGGCGAAAGCCUGAUCCAGCCAUGCCGCGUGCAGGAUGAAGGCCUUCGGGUUGUAAACUGCUUUUGUACGGAACGAAAAGGUUUGGCCUAAUAAGCUGAGCUCAUGACGGUACCGUAAGAAUAAGCACCGGCUAACUACGUGCCAGCAGCCGCCGUAA
rnacentral:rRNA from 1 species